GCAGUCGAGCGAAUUUGAGGGAGCUUGCUCCCAAAGAUUAGCGGCGGACGGGUGAGUAACACGUGGGCAACCUGCCUGUAAGACUGGGAUAACUCCGGGAAACCGGGGCUAAUACUGGAUAAUAUCUUUUUAUACAUAUAGGAAGAUUGAAAGAUGGUUCUGCUAUCACUUACAGAUGGGCCCGCGGCGCAUUAGCUAGUUGGUGAGGUAACGGCUCACCAAGGCGACGAUGCGUAGCCGACCUGAGAGGGUGAUCGGCCACACUGGGACUGAGACACGGCCCAGACUCCUACGGGAGGCAGCAGUAGGGAAUCUUCCGCAAUGGACGAAAGUCUGACGGAGCAACGCCGCGUGAGUGAUGAAGGUUUUCGGAUCGUAAAACUCUGUUGUUAGGGAAGAACAAGUAUCGGAGUAACUGCCGGUACCUUGACGGUACCUAACCAGAAAGCCACGGCUAACUACGUGCCAGCAGCCGCGGUAAUACGUAGGUGGCAAGCGUUGUCCGGAAUUAUUGGGCGUAAAGCGCGCGCAGGCGGUUCCUUAAGUCUGAUGUGAAAGCCCACGGCUCAACCGUGGAGGGUCAUUGGAAACUGGGGAACUUGAGUGCAGAAGAGGAAAGUGGAAUUCCAAGUGUAGCGGUGAAAUGCGUAGAGAUUUGGAGGAACACCAGUGGCGAAGGCGACUUUCUGGUCUGUAACUGACGCUGAGGCGCGAAAGCGUGG
rnacentral:rRNA from 2 species